AUAUUAUAGAAUGUUAUGAUAAAGUGUAUUAUUUGUUUUUAUCAGUUUAAUAUCUGAUAUGUGGGUCAUCAACCCCACUUGAUAUUAAUUUUAUUUUAUUUUUGUGAGAAAAAAAAUCCAUUAUCUUAGCUUGGUGAUGUGGUUCUUCAUGCAUCGCCUUAAACUUCCACUGCUAUUGCUACAACUUACACACU